AGGACGAACGCUGGCGGCGUGCCUAAUACAUGCAAGUCGAGCGAACGGACGACGAAGCUUGCUUCUCUGAUGUUAGCGGCGGACGGGUGACGUAACACGUGGAUAACCUACCCUAUAAGACCUGGGAUAACUUCGGGAAACCGGAGCUAAUACCGGACUAAUACUUUUGAACCGCAUGGUUCAAAAGUGAAAGACGGUCUUGCUGUCACUUAUAGAUGGAUCCGCGCUGCAUUAGCUACGUUGGUAAGGUAACCGGCUUACCAAGGCAACCGAUGCAUAGCCGACCCUGAGAGGGUGAUCGGCCACACUGGAACUGAGACACGGUCCAGACUCCUACGGGAGGCAGCAGUAGGGAAUCUUCCGCAAUGGGCGAAAGCCUGACGGAGCNAACGCCGCGUGAGUGAUGAAGGUCUUCGGAUCGUAAAACUCUGUCAUUAGGGAAGAACAUAUGUGUAAGUAACUGUGCACAUCUUGACGGUACCUAAUCAGAAAGCCACGGCUAACUACGUGCCAGACAGCCGCGGUAAUACGUAAGUGGACAAGCGUAAUCCGGAAUUAUUCGGGACGUAAAGCGCGCGUAGGCGGCAUUACAAAGUCUGAUGUGAAAGACCCAAGGAUCAACCAGUGGAGGGUCAUUUGGGAAACUGGAAAACCUUGACGUGCCAGAAACGAAGGAAAAGUGGAAUCCCACUGAUU
rnacentral:rRNA from 1 species